UAGCUCAGCUGGAUAGAGUACCUGACUACGAAUCAGGUGGUCGGGAGGUUCCGAAUCCUCC
rnacentral:tRNA from 1 species